rnacentral:lncRNA from 1 species
AUCUCCACGCAUACCUGCCUACCCUGCUAGAGUCACCCUUUCUAACCCAGGCGACUUCAACUUGGGGGGGUCCUUCCUCAGCCUGGCCUGCAGUUCCGUCCUUUCUGGAAAAAGCUGCUACCACAACCACUAGCUGAGCCAUGAAAAGUUCUCAACUCUGAAAAUUUCAUACCAGAUUGAUACUGAACCCAGUUUUGCUGGGCUUGCCACCCUCUGGAUCGAACCUGCGUCCUCAUGGAUACUAGUCAGGUUCCUUAACCACUGAGCCACAACGGGAACUCCAAUAUAUAGCUUUUUGUAUGUCAACCAUACCUUAGUCAAGUGGUUUUCAAAAAAUGUAACCAAGGAGUUCUCUUGUGGGACAGCGGGUUUGGGAUCCAGCAUUGUGGUGGGGGUUUGAUUCCCGGCCUGGUGCAGUGGGUUAAGGAUCUGGUGUUGCUGCAGCUGUGGUGAAGGUCGCCGCUGUGGCUGGGAUUCAGUCCCUGGCCUGGGAACUUCCAUAUGCCAUGGGUGCAGCCAAACAAUUAAAAUUAAGACUCUUCCUCAUUCAAUUUUUACCACAUGGUGGGUGCCAAGUUUUUACAUAUAUUCUGUUUAAUUUAAUAUUCUUGUCACUCCUAGGACAUAGUUGUCCCCUGCUAUCCAUGGGGGCCUGGUUCCAGAACUCCUGGACAGCAAAGUCCUUGGGAUGAGGGUGGAGCGGGAGAGUUGCACAGGUAGUGGCGGAAGUCCCUUCAGGAACUACAGGCAGACAGGGAGACCCGGGGGACUUUGGGAGAUCACUCUACGUCAACAACUGCCCAAGAAUGCCAUCAGAACGAGGCAGGCUUGCUCGAUUCGUGGAGAGCCUGAGAUGUGCUUCAGGCCAUUGGAUGGGAGAUGGGGUGAGACAGGCAUUCAAGUUCAGACCAAGGGCAGGAGGUUAAGGACCACCCUUCUGCUGAUUUGAAUAAGCACCCUGACAGUCCUAAUUUGACCUUAGAGGGUCAAAUACUCUCUUACUGGAUACGAAGUUGGAGCUACUACUGGAAGAAAGAGGAAGAGGCGGUCUUUUCCCACCCCCACUGCCCUUGGAUUAUAAAACUGCAGCCCAUUGAAUCCUCAGGGCAGAGCCUCCUUGCUGCCCACUUGCAUCUCUCACAAGCAUCCUAUCUUAACAAAUCUAUUUCUUGCCCAUCACUUUGUCUCUCACUGAAUUCCUUGGCGCUGAGACACAACGAACCUGAACUUCAGGAAGUCCAGACACAGGGUAAGUGAUUCUAAUUUAAAAACUGUGGAUUCAAGUACCAAUCCGGGUUCUGACAGGACUCGAGUCCCGGCACACGGUUUCUAGAACCCAUCCUGGCACAUGGGUUCUAAGUUCAAGUCACAAGUGCUGUCAGUGUCACUUGGAUGCUCAAGUCCCUCCUAUAAAAUGGUAUAUAAUUUGCUUAUAACCUACUCAUAGCCUCCUUAUACUUUAAAUCAUCUCUAGAUUACUUCGCAUACCUAAUAAAAUGUAAAUACCAUGUAAAUAAUUGUAAAAACUAUAUAAAAAAUUCUGAGUGCACAGCAAAUUCAAGUUCCGCUUUUUGGAAAUUCUGUAACUUUUUCCCCCUGAACUGUCCAUCCUCCUUUGGUUGAAUGUGAAGAUGUGGAACCUGUGGAUAGGGAGGCGUGAUUGUAUUAUUAUUAUUCCCAUUUUGCAGAUGAGAACAGUUCCUGAGAGGCUGCUGCCAAAGAAUGCAAAGCUCUUUGUGAGGCAUCCAGGUGGGAUUUGAUCCAGAGCCUGCCUGUCUCCAGAGCAUGGGCCCUGAAUUAUGAUGUCAUAGAGCUUUCCUGCUUCCUAUGAUGGCAUAGAGGAUUAUAUCAGGAUGCAUAAUCUGGGGCUGUAUGGGAGCUCCUAGUCUGAUUUUUCUCUACAGCAAUACUUGAAGAUACAACAAGGACAGGAGCAGCUGAUGAGGCUGGACUGUUCAUUGUCCGGCAGUUCCUCCCUCCACCCCUUCUACCUUGUAAUGGAUUUUGAGAAGCCUUCCGGCUCACUGGGCAGUUGUGAGCAUUACCUAGGCUACAGGUGAACAUUUAUAUAAUCUUAAUUUAAUAGUGAAGACUUGGGUAUGGUAAAAGACUCAUUUAUCCAACCGAUAAGCAAUGCUGUACCACAUAUUACAUUAGAAUAAAAAUAUAGGAAUAAAAGGGAGUUCUCACCAUGGCUCAGCAGUCAACGAACCCAACUAGUAUCUAUGAGGACGCAGGUUCUAACCCUGGCCUUGCUCAGUGGGUCGAAGAUCUGGCAUGGGAGUGAGUUGUGGUGUAGAUUGCAGACCCGGCUCAGAUCCCACGUCGCUGUGGCUGUGGUGUAGGCUGGAAGCUGCAGCUCUGACUCAGUCCCUAACCUGGGAACCUCCA